rnacentral:rRNA from 1 species
UAGAGUUUGAUCCUGGCUCAGGAUGAACGCUGGCGGCGCGCAUAACACAUGCAAGUCGAACGGAGUGUAAUUGAAACCUAGUGAUAUUACACUUAGUGGCGGACGGGUGAGUAACGCGUGGGUAACCUGCCUGGUAUUGGGGGACAACAGUUAGAAAUGACUGCUAAUACCGCAUACGACAUUGAGGAGGCAUCUCCUUAAUGGGAAAGGAUUUAUCCGAUAUCAGAUGGACCCGCGUCUGAUUAGCUAGUUGGUGAGGUAACGGCCCACCAAGGCGACGAUCAGUAGCCGAACUGAGAGGUUGACCGGCCACAUUGGGACUGAGACACGGCCCAAACUCCUACGGGAGGCAGCAGUGGGGAAUAUUGCACAAUGGGGGAAACCCUGAUGCAGCGACGCCGCGUGAGUGAUGAAGUAUUUCGGUAUGUAAAGCUCUAUCGAUGGGGAAGAAAAUGACGGUACCCAAGUAAGAAGCCCCGGCUAACUACGUGCC